AGUCGCCAGAAGAGGGAUCCGCGGCCGAUUAGCCUGUUGGCGAGGUAAUGGCUCACCAAGGCUUUGAUCGGUAUCCGGACUGAGAGGUUGGCCGGACACACUGGAACUGAGACACGGUCCAGACUCCUACGGGAGGCAGCAGUGGGGAAUCUUGCACAAUGGACGAAAGUCUGAUGCAGCAACGCCGCGUGGGGGAUGAAGCUUCUCGGAGUGUAAACCCCUUUCGACCUGGACGAAUGCCCGCAAGGGUUUGACGGUACAGGUAUAAGAAGCCCCGGCUAACUACGUGCCAGCAGCCGCGGUAAUACGUAGGGGGCCAGCGUUGCUCGGAAUUACUGGGCGUAAAGGGUCCGUAGGCGGUGUGAUAAGUCGAUAGUGAAAUCUCUGGGCUUAACCCAGAGGCUGCUAACGAAACUGCCAUGCUAGAGUGUGAGAGAGGCGAGUGGAAUUACGGGUGUAGCGGUGAAAUGCGUAGAUAUCCGUAGGAACAUCCGAGGCGAAAGCGGCUCGCUGGAUCACAACUGACGCUGAGGGACGAAAGCUAGGGGAGCAAACAGGAUUAGAUACCCUGGUAGUCCUAGCCCUAAACCAUCAUGACUUGGGGUUUGCCCUGUACGGGGCAAGUCCCGUAGCUAACGCGUUAAGUCAUGCGCCUGGGGAGUACGGUCGCAAGGCUGAAACUCAAAGG
rnacentral:rRNA from 1 species